UACGUAGGGGGCUAGCGUUGUCCGGAAUCAUUGGGCGUAAAGAGCGUGUAGGCGGUCCGGUAAGUCCGCUGUGAAAGUCGGGGGCUCAACCCUCGAAUGCCGGUGGAUACUGUCGGGCUAGAGUGCGGAAGAGGCGAGUGGAAUUCCUGGUGUAGCGGUGAAAUGCGUAGAUAUCAGGAGGAACACCUGUGGUGUAGACAGCUUACUGGACCAUCACUGACGCUGAGACACGAAAGCGUGGGUAGCAAACAGG
rnacentral:rRNA from 1 species